CCGUUCUCUUGGCUACUUGGUUGGAUCCUGCAUUUGGCACUGUAGAGGAUUGUACGGCCCUAAGUGGUACCCCAUCAUCCAUCUAGGAUAAACAUGGCCGAGGAUAGAAAGGGAUGCAUUGGAUGCCAGACAUGACACGUCAUGGCAGUCAGCCCUCUGCGAUAUCAAGCACAUGGCAGAGUAUCCUGACUCUCUUGGCAGCCAAGUGAUGAACCACCGUUGACCGGUGAGCUUGGUCAUCGCGCGGCACGCGUGUGAUGCGCGCCGGGACCCUCGUGGAUCGCACUCGUCCCAGGCAAAUUGCUUCCAAACAAUGAGUAUGUAAGGCGAUUACGGAUCACGGGUAUUUACGUAACAAAACAAAAAAAAAUCACGGGUAUUUUAGUUGGGUUGGAUCGGUCUCAAGCGUCUGCAUGAUUCAUAGGCGUCGUUCGAAGCUUGACCGGUAGUUUUGAGACCCAGACGGACCCCAAACCGGAGUCCGAUUCUUAUCUACAUUGGAUUCGGGUAUCAAAUAUUGUAUGCUGAAUCUCUCUAGUUACUAGCCCAGAGUCUUCUCCGUACGAACAUAGUGAAUCCGGCUACAUCUCGUGUACUGUCCCCUCAUGCCUUCUUCGAACAGCUUGGUGGUAGGUCCGUUUUCAGCAUCUCGGGGCCUUCAGGGUUGGUUUCCAGGUGCCACCCAAGACACACCACCUGUUUGUCUAUAUGCUUCUAAGGCUGAUAAUAUGUCUCUGUGCCAGCACAGGACCACCAGGCCAGGCGGACUUUGUUCCGGGCCGGGCUGAAUGGGCCAGGGGCCCAAGAUUUUCCCUCCAAAACAGAACUCUGAUGUUGGUUCUCAAUAGACCUGUGUUGCUUUCUAUUCCCAUAUGCUAAAUAAAGGCACAUUGUGGCAAUAUGAAGUUCAGCUGCACAAAUAUUAGAUGCCUGCGAUUGCUAAUCAGCAUUUGUAGAUCUUGGCACAGGCAUUGCACGUGAAAACAUAUAGACGGUUGUGAUCAAUGUCUGCACUUUAGUUGGGGAAGUAUUUCAUCAAAUGUUGCUCCUUGAAGCUUUAGGCUUUUCAUCCAUUAAUCUUUCAUCUAUACUUACUUUCAUCUACUUUGUUUGAGUUGUAAGAUUACCACUGAUAUGGAUUCUCUCUUAUAUGAUCAGAGGAACCAUCUCCUCAGCUGAUGAAGCUUCCCUUCUUUUCUCCAUCAUCAAGGACUAAGAAGACUGGCUCUGCCAGCAUGUUUGAUAAGUAAAAAUGUAAAAUAGAUAUCCAGUGUUAAAAGUACCUUGUUCUUUUGUACAAGUCUCAAAUGUGCCUGCUUAUUCUA